AUUGAACGCUGGCGGCAGGCCUAACACAUGCAAGUCGAGCGGAUGACGGGAGCUUGCUCCUUGAUUCAGCGGCGGACGGGUGAGUAAUGCCUAGGAAUCUGCCUGGUAGUGGGGGACAACGUUUCGUAAGGAACGCUAAUACCGCAUACGUCCUACGGGAGAAAGCAGGGGACCUUCGGGCCUUGCGCUAUCAGAUGAGCCUAGGUCGGAUUAGCUAGUUGGUGGGGUAAUGGCCCACCAAGGCGACGAUCCGUAACUGGUCUGAGAGGAUGAUCAGUCACACUGGAACUGAGACACCGUCCAGACUCCUACGGGAGGCAGCAGUGGGGAAUAUUGGACAAUGGGCGAAAGCCUGAUCCAGCCAUGCCGCGUGUGUGAAGAAGGUCUUCGGAUUGUAAAGCACUUUAAGUUGGGAGGAAGGGCAGUAAGCUAAUACCUUGCUGUUUUGACGUUACCGACAGAAUAAGCACCGGCUAACUCUGUGCCAGCCGCCGCAGUAAAAC
rnacentral:rRNA from 1 species